rnacentral:lncRNA from 1 species
GGUUUCCUUUGUUGUGAAAAAGCUUGUACGUUUGAUUAGGUCCCAUUGGUUUAUUUUUGCUUUUAUUUCUGUUGCUUUGGGAGACUGACCUGAGAAAACAUGUGUAAGGGUGAUAUCUGAGAAUGUUUUGCCUAUGUUCUCUUCUAGGGUUUAAUGGUGUCUUGCCUUACAUUUAAAUCUUUCAGCCAUUUUGAGUUUAUUUUUGUGCAUGGUGUGUUCCAGUUUCAUUGCUUUGCAUGCAGCUGUCCAGGUUUCCCAGCACCACUUUCUUAAAAGACUGUCUUCUUCCCAUUUUAUGUUCUUGCCUCCUUUGACAAAGAUUAAUUGACCAUAGGUGUCUGGGUUCAUUUCUGGGAUCUCUAUUCUGUUCCAUUGGUCUGUAUGUCUGUUUUGGUACCAUACCACACUGUUUUGAUGACUGUGGCUUUGUAGUAUUUCUUGAAGUCUGGGAGAGUUAUGCCUCCUGCUUGGUUUUUGUUUCUCAGGAUUGCUUUGGCGAUUCUGGGUCUUUUGUGGUUCCAUAUAAAUGUUUGGAUUGUUUGUUCUAGUUCUGUGAAAAAUGUCAUGGGUAAUUUGAUAGGGAUUGCAUUGAAUCUGUAGAUUGCUUUGGGUAGUAUGGCCAUUUUUACAAUAUUGAUUUUUCCAAUCCAGGAACAUGGAAUAUCUUUCCAUUUCUUUACAUCUUCUUUGAUUUCUUUGAUUAAAGUUUUAUAGUUCUCGGCAUAUAGGUCCUUUACCUCCUUGGUCAGGUGUAUUCCGAGGUAUUUGAUUUUGUGAGGUGCAAUUUUAAAAGGUAUCGUAUUUUUGUAUUCCUUUUCUAAUGUUUCAUUGCUGGUAUACAGAAAUGCAACUGACUUCUGAAUGUUAAUCUUAUAUCCUGCUACUUUGCUGAAUUUAUUAAUCAGUUCAAGGAGUUUUGGGGUUGAGUCCUUAGGGUUUUCUAGGUAUAGUAUCAUGUCAUCUGCAUACAGUGACAGUUUGAUCUCUUCUCUUCCUAUAUGGAUGCCUUUUAUUUCUUUUGUUUGUCUAAUUGCUGUGGCUAGGACUUCCAAAACUAUGUUGAAGAGCAGUGGUGAGAGUGGGCAUCCCUGUCUUGUUCCAGAUUUGAGUGAGAAGGCUUUCAGUUUUUCCCCAUUGAGGAUUAUAUUUGCUGUGGGUUUAUCAUAAAUGGCUUUGAUUAUAUUCAGGAAUGUUCCCUCUAUACCCACUUUGGCGAGGGUCUUGAUCAUGAAUGGAUGUUGAACUUUGUCAAAUGCUUUUUCUGCGUCUAUUGAGAUGAUCAUAUGAUUUUUGACUUUUUUUUUGUUAAUGUGGUGUAUGAUGCUGAUUGAUUUGCGUAUGUUGAACCAUCCUUGUGAACCUGGGAUGAACCCAACCUGGUCAUGGUGUAUAAUUUUUUUGGUAUGUUGUUGGAUUCGGUUGGCUAAGAUUUUGUUGAGAAUUUUUGCAUCUAUAUUCAUCAAUGAUAUUGGGCGAUAGUUUUCUUUUUUGGUGGUAUCUCUGUCUGGUUUUGGAAUGAGGGUGAUGGUGGCCUCAUAGAAUGUCUUUGGGAGUAUUCCUUCUUCUUCAACCUUUUGAAAGAGUUUAAGGAGGAUGGGCACCAAUUCCUCUUUAUAUGUUUGAUAGAAUUCACCUGUGAAGCCAUCUGGUCCUGGACUUUUAUUUGUAGGGAGUGAUUUUAUGACCUCUUCAAUUUCAUUUCUAGUGAUCGGUCUGUUCAGUUGGUCUGUUUCUGCUUGAUUCAGUUUUGGCAGGCUGUAAGAUUCUAGAAAAUUGUCCAUUUCUUCCAGAUUGUCAAACUUGUUGCCAUAUAGUUGUUCAUAGUAUUCUCUUAUGGUUUUUUGUAUUUCUGCUGUAUCCGUUGUGAUUUCUCCUUUUUCAUUUAUAAUUUUGGUUAUUUGGGUUCUUUCUCUCCUCUUUUUAGUGAGUCUGGCCAGGGGUUUGUCAAUUUUGUUCACCUUUUCAAAGAACCAGCUCUUGGUUUUAUUAAUUUUCUCUAUUGUUUUUUGAGUCUCUAUUUUAUUGAUUUCUUCUUUGAUCUUUAUAAUUUCCUUCCUUCUGCUGACUUUAGGACUUUUUUGUUCUUCUUUUUCUAAUUCGUUUAGGUGGUGGGUUAAGUUGUCGAGUUGAGAUUUUUCUUCUUUUGGGGGGAAGGCCUGUAUUGCUAUGAACUUCCUUCUGAGCACUGCUUUUGUGGCAGCCCAUAGAUUUUGAGUGGUUGUGUCUUUAUUAUUAUCAUUUGUCUCGAGGUAUUUUUUUUUUAAUUUCCUUCUUGAUUUCCUCAUUGACCCAUUGGUUUUUUAGUAGCAUGUUGUUUAGUCUCCAUGUACUGGGUUUUUUUCUCAUUUCUUUCCCUGUGGUUGAUUUCUAGUUUCAUGCCAUUAUGGUCAGGGAAGAUACUUGGAUCCAUUUCCAUACUUUUAAAUUUUUUGAGGUUAUCUUUGUGCCCCAAUAUGUGGUCAAUUCUUGAGAAUGUUCCAUGUGCACUUGAGAUGAAUGUGUAUUCUGAUUGUCUUGGAUGUAAUGUCCUGAAAAUGUCGAUUAAGCCUAACUUUUCUAUUGUUUCCUUUAGGAUCUCUGUUGCUUUAUUAAUUUUCUGUCUAGAGGAUCUGUCCAUUGAUGUGAGUGGGGUAUUAAAGUCUCCUACUAUGAUUGUAUUCCCAUCAGUUUCUCUUUUUAUGUCUGUUAGUAUUAGUUGUAGGUAUCUGGGUGCUCCUAUAUUAGGGGCAGAUAUAUUGAUGAUUGUAAUAUUCUCUUCUCGAAUGGAUCCUUUUACCAUUAAAUAGCGUCCUUCUUUGUCUUUCUUUAAAGCUUAUUUUGUCUGACAUGAGUGCUGCUACUCCUGCUUCCCUGUCUUGUCCAUUGGGAUGAAAUAUCUUUUCCCAUCUGCUCACUUUCAAUCUACAUGUAUCCUUUGCCCUAAGGUGAGUUUCUUGUAGACAGCAGAUUGAAGGUUUUUUCUUUUUUAUCCAAUCUGCCUCUCUGUGUCUUUUGAUUGGAGCAUUCAGUCCAUUGACAUUUAAGGUGAUUCUUGAUAGACAUUUAUUUAUUGCCAUUUUAAGCCUUCUUUUCCAGUUGAUUCUUGGUUUCUGUUUUCUUUUUUUGGUUAUUUUAUACUGAUUUAUAUUUAUUUUAUACUUGAGUAUUUUUCUUUUCAGUUUUUGUAAAUGUUAUGUUUGGCUAUGAUUUGUGGUUUCCUUGUUUUUUAAGUAUGUUAAUACCUUCCUAUAUCUGCUUACUUUAGCCUGAUAAUCAUAUAGGCUCAAACA